AAGGUUGGCUAAUCCUGGUCGGACAUCAGGAGGUUAGUGCAAUGGCAUAAGCCAGCUUGACUGCGAGCGUGACGGCGCGAGCAGGUGCGAAAGCAGGUCAUAGUGAUCCGGUGGUUCUGAAUGGAAGGGCCAUCGCUCAACGGAUAAAAGGUACUCCGGGGAUAACAGGCUGAUACCGCCCAAGAGUUCAUAUCGACGGCGGUGUUUGGCACCUCGAUGUCGGCUCAUCACAUCCUGGGGCUGAAGUAGGUCCCAAGGGUAUGGCUGUUCGCCAUUUAAAGUGGUACGCGAGCUGGGUUUAGAACGUCGUGAGACAGUUCGGUCCCUAUCUGCCGUGGGCGCUGGAGAACUGAGGGGGGCUGCUCCUAGUACGAGAGGACCGGAGUGGACGCAUCACUGGUGUUCGGGUUGUCAUGCCAAUGGCACUGCCCGGUAGCUAAAUGCGGAAGAGAUAAGUGCUGAAAGCAUCUAAGCACG
rnacentral:rRNA from 1 species